rnacentral:rRNA from 1 species
UACACUCCUGCGGUAGGCAGCAGUGGGGAAUAUUGCACAAUGGGCGCAAGCCUGAUGCAGCCAUGCCGCGUGUAUGAAGAAGGCCUUCGGGUUGUAAAGUACUUUCAGCGGGGAGGAAGGCAAUACGGUUAAUAACCGUGUUGAUUGACGUUACCCGCAGAAGAAGCACCGGCUAACUCCGUGCCAGCAGCCGCGGUAAUACGGAGGGUGCAAGCGUUAAUCGGAAUUACUGGGCGUAAAGCGCACGCAGGCGGUCUGUCAAGUCGGAUGUGAAAUCCCCGGGCUCAACCUGGGAACUGCAUUCGAAACUGGCAGGCUUGAGUCUUGUAGAGGGGGGUAGAAUUCCAGGUGUAGCGGUGAAAUGCGUAGAGAUCUGGAGGAAUACCGGUGGCGAAGGCGGCCCCCUGGACAAAGACUGACGCUCAGGUGCGAAAGCGUGGGGAGCAAACAGGAUUAGAUACCCGUGUAGUCC